rnacentral:rRNA from 1 species
AUACGGAGGGUGCAAGCGUUGUUCGGAUUUAUUGGGCGUAAAGCGAGUGUAGGCGGUUUAGCAAGUCGGAUGUGAAAUCCCAGGGCCCAACCCUGGAACUGCAUCCGAUACUGUUAGGCUAGAAUCCCGGAGAGGAUGGCGGAAUUCCCGGUGUAGGGGUGAAAUCCGUAGAUAUCGGGAGGAACACCAGUGGCGAAGGCGGCCAUCUGGACGGUGACUGACGCUGAGACUCGAAAGCGUGGGUAGCAAACAGGAUUAGAAACCCCUGUAGUCC